GGGUAAAUGGGGAAAUUACCCUCAAAACAUAACAAAAGUUAUGUUUCAAGGGUAUUGUAAACCCUAACCUCACCUUCACUUGAAGAACAUCUAGAGAAGAGAAGAGGAGAGAAGGAGGCGAGAAGCUCUGCUGAAACGAAGAGCACGGACUACCAUCUUCGAUCUGCCAUCCGUCCGCGAGACGAUGUCAAGGACGAAUUCAGCGACCCAUUAGCCUCAGAACCUGCGGCGGGUUGUUUGGUAGUCUCAACGUCUUUGUCACCGCUGCUAGUCACUACCUGAAUAGGCCUGGUUCCACUGACCGCAACAACGAAAUCAAGUUUCUCGGUUGAUUUGCCCGAAUAGGCUUUUCUUAUGGUUGACCUGCUUCUUCCAUAAAUAUUCAAUUUUAAAGUUGUGAUCUUCCUCCCCCACAAUCUUCUCUAAAAUAGGAUCCCAAACUGACUUCUGUUUAUGGGACACUCCACGAAGGGGCCCCAUUGUCAUGUUAGAAUUUUGAUUGGCCAUGUCUUUAGUAACACAGUGUGCAUAAUCCUGCAAUACUAUGGAAGUUCUUUGAAACACAAUUACUUUCUUAGACACAAAGAAUGCAAUUUUCAUUUCACAGACACCGACAUUUACUACUGCUAAUUUCGUAUGUAUUAAACUGACAAUGAAUAACUCUGGAUGGAUUUACUUGGAAUAAGUCUGAGUUGUUGUUGUUGUGGAUUUUCUUUUUA